rnacentral:lncRNA from 1 species
GGGGAAUUGACUUUUAAAAAUUUGAAACAGUUCAUCAAGUCAUUGUCCUUUGGUAGGUUCUCACUUCCUUUAACAUUUUCUUUUUUAUGUUUUGCAAGAGAUUUCUGUUUCCUAAACAACAUGUAUGAUAACGUGCCUUCUGCUACUAUUUCCCACUGCCCACAAUUAAGUUAUAGCUGCUGCAUUACUUUCUCUCCAGAUU